CUUACUAAAUUACUUAUUGACUCUGAAUAAGUCACGUUGAUGCACAUGUGAGUCUGAGUCUGAUUUUAUUUAUGGGGUGGUUCUGAAAGAGCAGUAUGAUUUAUGUAUCUAUGUAUCCAAGUCAGUGGAGAAAAUCUACAGUUCCACAUCCCUUUCUGUAAUGAUUUAAAAUUCACAAGUCAGUGUUUCAAAAAAUUUUUUUUGCACUUCUGCAUGUACAUUUCUUAGCUUCAGCUGACCAAGUAGUAAUGUGAAGAAUGUCCCUAUUCACCCUGUCUUUCAGAUCUCCCAAGUAACAUGAUGUAACACAUUUGUUUUCUAAGCAUCAUCCUACAAAGACUGCAGAAGCUACUGUAGAUUUGAGAGGGUUCAUGGGAGUGAUGACAACAUAUUCUGGAGUGAUCCCUUAGUUUACUAUAUGGAUAGAGCAGAUAUAAGAGGCAAUCUGAAUUAAAGAGGAUGUUGGGAAAGCAUAUGAAUUUUUAGGAGUGGGAUAAGCUCACCCACCUUUCGAUUUCAUGGCCAGCAUUUUCCCCACUAUUUAACUUAUUCCGUCUCUGGCUUUUCACUUGUCCUUUCAUCUUCGAGAUGCAUGUAUUUAAUAUCUUAGCUCCAGUUGGAUUCUGUGGACUUUAAAAGACUGAAGUAUUUUUUAAGAGAAUGGUAAAGGACAAUGACUGGAAGGAGAGGGUAUUUCAAAUAAGUAAAACUGUGAGGGAAGUAGGGAUGACGGAGAUGAUAAGGAAAAUAAGAGAAGUUUUAUAGGAUCUCUUUCCCUGCUGCCCAUGUUCACACAUGAAAUUUUGUCACUUCUUUCCAGUUUAGUCUUCCUGAGGUGGAAUCUACCUGUUCUGGUUGAUAUUCAGUCCUGUUCCUUCAGGCCUCUUGGAUAGUGUCACAACAGCAGAAGAAAUGUCUCACCAGCCUUCAGUUCUCUCCAUUCAGCUUGUGGCUGCAAUUGGGCCUCAUGUAGCUGUGAAUCCAUAGUUUGUCUGACUAUUAUGAUAAUUGCACAGACGCUUUCUUUGCCUUUGCUAAUAAACUGGCUUAUGUAACCUCUCUGUUGUCCCCAAAUCCCAUAGCUAGCUGCCUGCAGUUCCAAGGCAUUAUUUCAAAUGGCAGGUUGCAGCAUCCCUUGUUGCAUAGAAUGCAGAGCAUGAAGCUUCUGCUGUGUCUUAACUGGUAACUACCUCUUUGUACAAAUAGCAUGAUCCUUUCUGAGUCAUGUUCAGCUUGCUCCUUGCUGUGUUUGUGGGAGAGUUUAUCAGUGGAAAUAGAAUCUAGAGCUGCAUUUAUUUCUCUCAGUUGGCUUCAACACUUGUUGGUUGUGGAUUUCUUAUUUUCUUCUUGUGAAAUAACAAAGAUUUUGAUUGACAUUAUUACACUAGGAAGCCUAGGGCUGUGUUUACAGUGAAUAUGCAAAGCUGUAGACAAAAUGUAGAGCAUUUUGACUGUUUUUCAUGAUCUUUAUAGUCUCUCAUCCUUGAAGGAAAGUAAAUAAAAACCAAUGAACUUCCUUUGGAAGUUGUUAGGUGCUCAAAUUCUAUAGUGCUAAGGACUUACAACUGCACAGAGAACAUAAAAAUGUAUACCUACAAACAGGUCAAGAACAUUUUCUAAAGUAAUAUUAAUGACACUUUUUAAUAUUAAUGAACUGUUGAAGAUAAUUUUUUUGUCAUAUAAGCUUAUAUAUUGCUACCAUUAAGCUGAUCUUAAUUGAUACUCUCUUAAGAAUUACAGUUGCUAAUUCUGUAUUCAUAGGAAGGGAACUUCUUCAUUAGCAAUUAUUUAAUGGCUCAUUUUAGCUGUGAAAGGACAGUCUCACUACAUUUUCUUUUCCUUCCUAUUUCUAUCUUUUCCGUACCACCAAUAUGGGAAAUCAGCAUGUCAAACUUCUGGAGAGCUCUGAUUUUUGUCUCCCUCUUAGCCCUCAGUCUGUAAGCCAACCAAAUGUGAUUCAGAGGUCGUAUUGUUAAUCUGCUGCUGCAAAGCUAGACUGAAAGGUGCUGCUAAGUUACACAUGUCUAAGCAGGGAGGCCUGCAACGUACUGAAAUGACGAUGAUGUCAGAAUUGUUGUUAGCACUGAUUUCUGCAUUUUCUGCAGGAGAAGUUAGUGACAGAAGGACCAGCUGAGAGGCAGUCCAUGAGAAGCAUUUUAUUAUACAGAAGUGUCUCUUAUGGUAGAAACUAGGUCCUUCUCAAGUAAACAGGGAGAUGCACAGCAUCUCAAGCACCUAAUGGAAAGCACACCAAACUGCUCGCUGAGAACUUAGUGCAUGGUAGGGUAUCUGCUAUUUCCCUCUAUUGUGGGCCAUUUUUUUCCCUGGUGGUGGCAAUAGAAGACCUGUAAUUUUCUGCAGCUUAUAUAAACAAGUUUGUUUUAAGGGGAUGAUGUCUGCCGGACAUAACCCAGAGGGCAAGCAUUCAUAUUUUUUUCAAGAUGGUAGGUGAAAGCAUACUUUCCCUUGCUUGGUCUAAGUGGAUUUGUUGCCCUUGCCACAUGUGCAGUACUAAAUAGAAACAGUGUUCACUGAAGAAUCACGAUGCUUUAAGCUGGUAAACAAUUUGACUACUUUUAUUUAUUUUUUUUUUCCCCUGCUAAAUCUGUCUUUUUCAUCUAGGUCCCCUGAAAGCAAGAGCAAAAAUCUGAAACAUUUAGCUGAUUGUGAUUUUUUUAAAAUGCUAUCAAGAAAACAGGUUCACUGACACAUAUGUGCAGUAUAUACCUCUGGUAAACAGAACCAGAUCAUCCACAUUUCAGCUUAUUUUUUCCAGCAAGGAGAUUUUUGAAGACUUAGCGAGUUGAAAAGAGCAGAGCAGGCAAAGCAAGGGAUUGUAUUAUCCAUCCCUUUCACACUAAGCACAUGAUGUUUUUCUGAGCAGUAAGAAAUUUGUUUUCCAAAGACAUUGUCAAGUUCACUGAGAUUCACUGACUCCUGGUAGCAAUGUAAGCUUGAGACAGCAGUGACAGGCUUUAUUUCAGGACACUGUGUAUCGUGCAAAAUGAGCUUCCUUCAACUGGAAUGAUGUCUGAGUUACGGCACCACCAUGAAAAUUAACAGACACAUAGAUCAGCCAAGCAGUAAGUGUGCAGGAUUUCUGAUCAGGCACAAAUAGCUUCUCUCAGCUUUGCUGGUGAUACUUUCCAGAGGCAGCUUCUGUUGAGGGGGUAUCCUGCAGCUGAGAGCCCCAUGUUCCCCCUCCAACCUGUCCUUCCAGGAAUUGCAGAGAGAGCAGAAUGCUGCGGCAAUAUUCGGGCACUAAUUAAUUUUGCCAGCAGGAGCUCGUUUUGGCCUUUGAUUUUGAGCUGACAGUUAAUAGAUAGGGCAGUUUCAGAAAGUGGGUGUGCUUUACAGCACUUGGCAACUGACUCUCUAAAUCACGGGUACAGUUUGCAAUCUCAGCCAUAUAAAACAUCUCUCUGUUUACUCUCUUUAUUGAAGAUAUGUGUUCACAAUGAAGAUAUAGUUUUUCAAUACAAUGAAUGGUAUAUUGGCAUUGAUAAGGUGAACUUUACAGAAAGUAUUUGGGUAAAUGUUAUUAUCAUUGCAUUACAGGCAGAAACUGAGUUUGCAUUUGGCUACACAAAAUUUAUGUCUACAGGGAGGGGCAGCCUGAGGCAGCCCUGCACAGUCUGUGGUGGGUAGAGCCUACAGACUCUGGGGCAGCUGGAGCAUGUAGGGAUCCAUGGCUGUGUCUCUACUGCAGAAGAGACUAUGGACAGGGAAUGAACUCCUGGGGCUGCUAAUGCUUGUUUUGCAGUCUGGCACUGUUUUGUGUUGUCAGGACCAGUUUUCCCCUCUCUCUAAUGAUAUCCUGAGAUGCUUUGCACUUUCAAGGCUUCUGUUAAACCACAGAUAAUGCAACCUAUAGCCUGCAUUUUGUGCUGAUAAAAUGUUGUUUUGAUGAGUUGUGACACUGCCAUAGCAUUAUUUAAAAUGCUCUGAACUGAGAAUAAUACACAGUGAAAUAGCAUUUAUGCAAUCAGACCAUGAGGCAACCACAGGGGACCAAAGGGAAACCCUCGGCUGAACAUUAUGCAGAGUGGUGAGGCAAUGCCACACAGCUUGAUCUUUAUUUAGCAGCGUGGGUAAAGUCCCAAUCCUUAGCUUGGCAUAUCCGAGCUGAUGUAAAUUGCUGUCUGCUACUAAAUGUGAUACCUGUGGUCAUUUUCUAGCAGUCAUCUCAUGAACUGAUGUGGGACCAAGACUGGAAUUGAAGACCUCUAGACUUCCAAUUCUUGUGCUCCUCCUCUCCAGAAAAUGCUGCAUUGAAAUACAAUACAAGAGAAAAAAGCACCUAAAGAAAGUAAAAUUACGGUUCCUGAUGACAUACUGUUUCUGUCAUCUCAUCAGUUAAAUGGAGAAUUGCAGUAGAACAGGAAUUAUUCUGUCCUCUGGAGCCCCUGGGAGCUCUGACUUUAUUUGCAGUAGAAGUUGGACUGAAUUCUGAAGUAAUAAGAAAUUUAAGUCAAAUGCAUUACUAAAAUUAUGUGCUAUGGAUGCAUGAGGGGUUAAAGAGUUUAAAAAUAAUGAUUUAUUCAAGUCAGCCUUGAGGAUCAAAGCUUUGGCUUCAAUGCUGUCUCAAGGUGGACUUUAGUACCUCAUGGGACACUUUCAUGGCUCAGUGCAACACAGAUAAUUUGGCAUUCAAAGCUGUCAACAGCAUGGAUUAAUAAAGCAUUACAGUAUCUUUUAAGUUAUUAUUGCAAACCAAGUCUCAUGCUCUUCCUGAGUGCUGCUGUAAGUGUUUGUUUCUGAAAUGCACAAUUUCUGUUUGUUUGGUUUUGUUUUGGUUUUUUUUUAGGAAAAUAUCCUUGAAACUGGGAGUAGGCGAUUAAAACCAGCAGGAAAUGUGUAAGAGAAUUCUUGGUGGUCUAAUAAGGGAUUUAGAGACUCCAGCAGGGGAGAAGUGUUUUAUAAAUUUAAUAUGAGGCUAACUACAUCAUGCUCCUGUCUUCAGCAGAAGGCCAGGAAGAUGCAUAGAAACGGAACUUCUUAGCUGGGAUUAUCUCAUAAGACAACCUUAAAUUUUGGCAGCAAGUCAAAGGUUUACAGCACAUCAGCAAAUGGAACAUGAGGACAGUUCGUGGUGCUGCUAUCAACUCUCUAUCAACUUCCAACAAGCAGAGGUUAAUUAUCUCCUUGUUACUUUUGGGGUCUUUGUAGCAAACGAGGCACUCAGACCGAGCUAUGGAAGAGCACUGUAAUGCUUGGGUAGUUUUGGCACAGGGCAGUUGCUCUGCAGAGCUUCGUGGCCCUCUCACAGCAAGCUCCUGGCCUGCUCUCAGCUUGAGUGGAAAGGAUCUGAUGGUCAGUGUGCCUGUUUCCUCUCACUGAACCUUUUCCAAAGUGGGAAAUAUCUUGUUUGCUUCCUUGCCAUGUGCUUGCUGGAGCAGAGUUCCACUCCUCUCAAAUGAGCCUCUGAGGAAAUUGAUACACUGCGCGUUGAAUACUUGUACUUUGCACAGGUUUGGUGCCUUAAGAUGAAGGUUCUAUUGACAGACCAAUGGAGUAAUUGAGAAGGGUUGUAUGGAUAAAAUUAACUGCUAACUUCUAAUGUAAAUAUGACCAUUUAGACAAAUUGAGAAAAAGGGCAAAGUGACUACCUAAUUAUUAUGAAAAAUGGUAUUCAUGUUUUGUACAAUUAUGACUAUAUUAAGCCUAUUUCAGGCAACUAAUAUGCUGAUCUGAUUCAGAAGAGAUUAAUUGGUGAUAUGAACACUUAAGCUAUAUAAUUUACUCUGAUUGAAGAGGCAAUACUAAAAUGUGGCACUAGCAGAUGUUGGAUGAAUUUUUGCUCUGAAUCCAUUCACUGAAAAUGCUAGGUAAAUCUCCCCUUAUUUAUUCUAAGCUAUUAAAUACUCUAAUUCCCGGA